ACACCGAUGGUGAAGCGGUUAUCAUGCUUGCCUUCCAUCCUCGUAAAGUCGUUUCGAAGCAAGCGGCAGGGGUUCGACUCCCCUUCGGUGUA